rnacentral:rRNA from 1 species
UAGGGAAUCUUCGGCAAUGGACGAAAGUCUGACCGAGCAACGCCGCGUGAGUGAAGAAGGUUUUCGGAUCGUAAAACUCUGUUGUUAGAGAAGAACAAGGACGUUAGUAACUGAACGUCCCCUGACGGUAUCUAACCAGAAAGCCACGGCUAACUACGUGCCAGCAGCCGCGGUAAUACGUAGGUGGCAAGCGUUGUCCGGAUUUAUUGGGCGUAACGCGAGCGCAGGCGGUUUCUUAAGUCUGAUGUGAAAGCCCCCGGCUCAACCGGGGAGGGUCAUUGGAAACUGGGAGACUUGAGUGCAGAAGAGGAGAGUGGAAUUCCAUGUGUAGCGGUGAAAUGCGUAAAUAUAUGGAGGAACACCAGUGGCGAAGGCGGCUCUCUGGUCUGUAACUGACGCUGAGGCGCGAAAGAGUGGGGAGCAAACAGG